AUGCUACGACCCGAAACUGGAGAUCGUCCACCUAUACUAGGACCAAUGGCCGACCGAUAUCGCGAUAACCCCUGCGGCCGGAAAUUCUCUUGCUACCCUAGCGGCAUCGACGCUAAGAAUACCAACAACGGAUGCAACGGCAAAUAUGCGGUCGCCGAACUGAAGAACUGCGGAGAGGUCCCCUACCCCAACUACUGCAUCAACAACCCGCCGAACGGUGCCAUCAACUACUGCACCAGCCCUCCCGUCACAUACGGGUACCCGGAUUACUUUCUCAGCGUACAAGCACUUCUUUACGACUGCGCCUACGGGCUAUUCUGCCUGGACGCCGGCCGGGCCAGGGACGACAAACAGAUCAUCUACGAGGCAUCCAAAGGCGGAACCAAAGUCGUUUUAGUCGACACGUGUAGUGACUGCGUCGUUCGGACGUACUGUUUCCCGGAUGACGUCGCCACGCCAAAGUCGUACUUCAUCAACAUGGCCGUGGACAACGUCAAAAACGUCUUGUACAUCGCAGAUGCGCCAGGUUACUCCAUCGUCGUCCUAGACUUAUGCACUGGGAAAUCCUACAUAGCUUUCCAGGGAGACCCGACGCUGAUGUGGAUUCAAGGCGGGUUGGAUUGGGUCUGGGGUCAGCCGUCGUAUAGCACGGGGACGAUUCUGAACUGUGAUGGGAAAGAGUCCAACUGUGAGAUCCAAAUAGGGUCGAUCCCGUUCGGGGUCUCGACGCUGUCCCUCUCGUGCGACAGGAAGAGGCUUUACUACAGCCAGCUCGGGGGUCGCACGCUGUGGUCGGUGGAUACGAAGGCGCUAUUAGCGGCUGAUGGGGUCGCUGAGACGAUAGUGAAUAACGGUGAGAAGGGGGUGACCCUGGGGUUGAUAACCGAUAAACAAGGGUUGAUUUGGUCUGGCAAUGCGGAGAACGAUGCGAUCGUGUACUACAAUCCCUGUUGUGCCUUCGCGAAGACGUACCUGUACAUACGGGACCCGAGGUUGAGUUGGGUGCACGGGUUCAGCGAGGCGGGAGAUGGGUAUAUGUACUGUCUUGCUAACUACAUAAACGGUAUCAACCUGGUGUACCCGGGGACGGGGCCUAUCUAUGCGGAUAGAAGGAAGAAACCGUACGUUUUGUUAAGUUUAAGAUACCAUGCGACUGUCUCUGUCCAAAUUUCUGUACUGAACCAACCCUGGGGAAGCAAGUCUCUUGCGGGUGAAUUGCAGUUGAGUACGCCGUAG
rnacentral:lncRNA from 1 species